GCCCCGCAAGCCUGGACCUAUCGCGACGCGUCGCGCUGCCGGAAGUCGCCAGCCCAGCUUUCUUCAGCGCGGCGGAAGGCGCCCUCAGAGCCCCGAGAGAGGAGGAGGGAGAAGACAGAGGAAUACGGAGUCUCCAGUGGUCCAAACUGCAUCGUCCUACCGCGUUUUAGAGCCACGACAGCCUCGGGGUGGCGGAGCGCGGCGCAGGCUUAGGAGAGGCGGAGGAGGGGUGGGGAACGCUUCCCACCCAGGACACCCAGCCCAGUGACCGGUCAGCAAGCAGCCUUCCCGGGGCUGGCAGGAAAAAGGUGCAGUCCGCGAGGUUGAAAACGGUGUGAGCAGAGUCAAGGGUAAAAAUUCUGGGCAAGCAAUCCUGAGACGCCAUUACGCCCCAAGGGCUGAGGAAGCAAGGGAAGGAGCCUUCACAGGGAAUCAUCAGAGCUGCAGGCAUAAACACAAGGCCAGCAGUGUACAGACUAUUUGUUACCAUCCAAAGAGGUUAUUGUAAGAAAGAAUGGAGAAAAAAACAUGUGGAAAGGGACUUCCUAGGUGCACAGUGGUUGAGAAUCCACCUGCCAAUGCAGGGGACACGAGUUUGAUCCCUGCUCCAGGAAGAUCCCACAUGCCUUGGAGCAACUAAGCCUGUGUGCCACAACUAUUGAGGCUGUGUGCCACAACUACUGAGGCCCGUGAACUUAGAGUCUGUGCUCUGCAACAAGAGAGGCCACCGCAAUGAGAAGCUCGAGCACCACAACAAAGAGUAGUCCCCGCUCUCUGCAACUAGAGAAAGCCCCCGCAGCAGCAAAGACCCAAUGCAGCAAAUAAAUAAAUAAAUAAAUUUAUAAAAAAUAUAUAUAUAUAUUUUACAGCCAUCAAAAUGAUACUCAUAAGUAACAGAAUUACAUGGGAAAAUUAUUUUA